GGGGUAUCCUACCUAAUCCGAGGUCAACCACUAGAAAAUAUAGGGGUUUUAACGGCUAGCAGCCAGGGCCACCACACGAGCGAGAGAAAUUACUACGCUGAGAGUGUACCCUAACUCCGCACUAACUUUGAGGAACUACGCCGUAGAUUCCCAACGCUAAGCAACAGGGGCUUAGGGGUCGAAAUGACGCUCGAAUAGGCAUGCCCACUAGAAUACUAGUGGGCGCAAUGUGCGUUCAAAGAUUCGAUGAUUCACUGAAUUCUGCAAUUCACAUUACUUAUCGCAUUUCGCUGCGUUCUUCAUCGAUGCCAGAACCAAGAGAUCCGUUGUUGAAAGUUUUAACUUAUUUUGGUUUAAAAUCAGAGAAACAGUGGUAAAAACAAGAGUUUAACGGUCCUUCGGCGGGCCGAAGCCGACUACAGGGUAGCUCCAGGGUAGCUCCAGGGUAGCUAUAGGGUAGCUGCAGGGUAAGUGCAGGGUAGCUAUAGGGUAGCUAUAGGGUAACUCUAGGGUAGCUCCAGGGUAGUUACAGGGUAGCCGUAGCUCACGCCGAGGCAACGAUGGUAAGGUUCACAAAGGGUUUGGAGUUUUGAUAACUCAGUAAUGAUCCCUCCGCAGAUUACCCCUUACGGGAA
rnacentral:rRNA from 1 species